AAGGAGCUGCAGUAAUGAAAAGCGUGCAGAUGGAAAUGCAAACGUUGUUUUGUUAGACUGUGCAGGACGGAGUAUCCAGAACACUUUUUUGAUGUAGCUCUGUACAGCCUGCGUGCUGCCCCCAGCUGCAGGUCACUGUGCACCCUCUGACGAGAGGAUAAGGAAGAGCCUUUCCAA